AACAUAGUAAAGUAUGUAUAUAAAAUUACUCUCCAUCCUUCAGGCAAGCCAAAUUCAGUGAUGCUGUUUGAAGACAGGCCAGUAUACCUGAUUGAGAAUCAAAAUGUUGUUAAGGCUAUUUCACUUUUAUUGGUGUAAAAUGCAAACUAAAAAACAUUUAUCUCAACAAUUCCAAAUUUUCUCUCCCACAAAGUUAUUUUUUAACGUGAAAAUAUUGAUUUACUAUUUGUCUAUUAUUAGGACAAAUUCUGCUGACAAUGAAGUUUUGAUCUCUUUGUUCACAAUCAAGAUUCAGACUUCUUUAGGUUACAGACACUCAUACUCAUUUUGAAAAUCCCAGCAAUUUGUUAGGUAACAUUUUUCUGAAAGACUGAAAGGAAUCAGACUACCUGCAGGCAUGGACAGAGUUGGUUACAUGGAAACAGGUCAAAGUCCAGUGACGGUGCAUGUGUUAUUUUGCUCUCUGUGUUCACAGAAAUGGCAGCAGUGCGUGAAGGACAAGGGGGAAGGCAGCACAACAUGGAACCUAGGUGUAAUGACUGUCUCAUUAUGCAGGUGAGCUUCAGCAUUUAUCAUAUAUUUGUUGACCAUUUGUAUGUACUCUUCAUUCAAUGUCUUGUUUAUAUGAUUUGCCCACCUUGCAGUUGGUUUGUUUUUCUUUUGUUUGUUAAUUGCUUAGAACUCUGUCUGUGUUGAUGUUAACUCUAUAUAUGCCCUCUAAAAUGUAAAUUUUUUCCGCAAACUACUUUUGUCUAUUGAUAUUAUGGUAUCUUUUCUUAAAUCCUUAAAAUUUUUUGAAAUCUUCAAAUAUGUCUAUUUGGGAUUUCAAUUAUUAGUUAAGAAGAUUCUUCUAAGCUUAGAAUGUAGAAAGACAGCUCC
rnacentral:lncRNA from 1 species